rnacentral:rRNA from 1 species
UCCAGACUCCUACGGGAGGCAGCAGUGGGGAAUAUUGCACAAUGGGGGGAACCCUGAUGCAGCGACGCCGCGUGGGUGAAGGAGCACCUCGGUGCGUAAAGCCCUAUCGGCAGGGAAGAAACAGACGGUACCUGACUAAGAAGCCCCGGCUAACUACGUGCCAGCAGCCGCGGUAAUACGUAGGGGGCAAGCGUUAUCCGGAUUCACUGGGUGUAAAGGGAGCGUAGACGGCGACGCAAGUCUGGAGUGAAAGCCCGGGGCCCAACCCCGGGACUGCUCUGGAAACUGCGGCGCUGGAGUACGGGAGGGGCAGGCGGAAUUCCUGGUGUAGCGGUGAAAUGCGUAGAUAUCAGGAGGAACACCGGUGGCGAAGGCGGCCUGCUGGACGGAAACUGACGCUGAGGCACGAAAGCGUGGGGAGCGAACAGGAUUAGAUACCCCGGUAACA